rnacentral:rRNA from 1 species
AUUGAACGCUGGCGGCAGGCCUAACACAUGCAAGUCGAACGGUAACAGGAAGAAGCUUGCUUCUUUGCUGACGAGUGGCGGACGGGUGAGUAAUGUCUGGGAAACUGCCUGAUGGAGGGGGAUAACUACUGGAAACGGUAGCUAAUACCGCAUAACGUCGCAAGACCGAAGAGGGGGACCUUCGGGCCUCUUGCCAUCGGAUGUGCCCAGAUGGGAUUAGCUAGUAGGUGGGGUAACGGCUCACCUAGGCGACGAUCCCUAGCUGGUCUGAGAGGAUGACCAGCCACACUGGAACUGAGACACGGUCCAGGCUCCUACGGGAGGCAGCAGUGGGGAAUAUUGCACAAUGGGCGCAAGCCUGAUGCAGCCAUGCCGCGUGUAUGAAGAAGGCCUUCGGGUUGUAAAGUACUUUCAGCGGGGAGGAAGGGAGUAAAGUUAAUACCUUUACUCAUUGACGUUACCCGCAGAAGAAGCACCGGCUAACUCCGUG